CUUCACUUCCGGAAGUGGCCGUGGCGGCAGGAGAAGCUUGAGCUUGUCGUCUUCAUGACGAAAAUGAGGAGAGGAGUAGCAGCGGUCGUCUGCUGGUCUGCACUGAACCCAACUGCCAACACCCACUCAGCACUGACGGACUGACACUCCUAACUGAAGGCAAAACACCCAGCUGCUGGGGUACUUGUUUCCCCUAAUUUGCUACACUCCCGAGUCCCUUUGGAUUUCUUCUGCUGCUGACACCGAAGGUGCAGUACACAACUGAUGACAUGUCUGAUGCCCUUUCAGCCACAAAACUUAAUGUUAACAAAAGGCCUCAGCCAGCCCUGCCUGCUGCGAUUCCCCCGUAUCCGUCGUUCGCUUCUCACUCAGCGCUGUGGGGAAUCAGAGCACCCUACUAAUUACGGGUCUCCUUACAGCGCAACUCUGAAGAGCGCUAUGAUGUCCCAGCAGUGCCUGGCAUUUGAACAAACGAGCAGAAUGAGAAGGCAGCGUUCAUUGGUUUAUUUCUUUAUUAGAUGUUAAACUCCACAAUGAAACAAAAUAAUUUACUGAGGGGCACACAAUGAACUGAGAACAGUACAAGCACUUGAGAAGCCAGGUCGGGGGAAUGGGGCGCUGGGGCCCUGGCCAACAAGGAAUGGUGAUCAAAAGGACAACUCGGCCGUUCGGUGCUGCGCUCGCCGUGUUUGGGGCCGCAGUGCAGUGCAGUGAACUCAGCUGUUCAGUCUUUCCAAAAUAGUUCCUCAUGCAUACGCCAACCCAAUUUGAGCUCUCUCUGCAGUCAUCCCUUUAAAGAUGGAUGAUUGAGAGAUGGAGAGGAAAACUAAGAACAAAAAAAACGUGGCCAUGUGUAUUCCUUCAAACACCCACGUGAGUAACGUGACUUGGUCUCUCACGCAAAAAUACAUACACCAUCUCAAGCACACAAAGUAAAAUAAAAAUAACAGUAACUACCAUUUUAACUUUUUUCCUUUUUCUCUUUUUAAUCUCAAUUUGCUGGUGCCGGAGUGUGAUGUUAGCAUGCGGCAUCUACUGGAGGACACUCCAUGACUUUUAAAGCUGUUCCGCACUCAAAAAUAAGAUUCAUGCAAAAUAAACUGGAUGGAACAAUAGACCACUCUCAGUACACUCCUGUGCAUGUCACACUGCUGCAUACGCCACCACGUUGCUUACAACUCGUAGUCGGUUGCAGUUCUCCUGUUGCAGAAGUUGUAACACUAUGAGCUGUACAGGAAGCUUAGAGAUAAAGAAACACUAAAGAAAUCUGUCAAUAAAAUAGUACAAGUAAAACACAAAAUGCUGAGUGUUAUAACAAUAAUGCUCAUUAUAAAUAAUGCAGUCAUUCCCUUCAUGUGGAAGCAUGUAGUUGAUCUGGCACUAGUUUGUAGUUGAGCCAAUUCAAAGGCCCAGGCCACCACACCAGGACAGCUGUGUACAGCCUGUACAUGAAUUUCACUGCAAACAGUGCAAAGAAGUGCUUGUUUGAAAACAGGUUUUCAACACGGGGGAUCCAUGUUUCAGAUGAAGGGAACCAUCUCUGGACUGUGACCACACAUCAAUUUAUAACAGACUCAAGCUGUGGGACGGUACAAGAGACACUUCACAGAACAAAUGCAACUGUUGGGGCUCUAGAAGGGUCAGGUGAAAUGAGACUGCUUACUGUUGCUCAAUGUUUCUAAAAGGUCUUCAGUGUCUUGUAAUAAUGCAGAAUGAUUCUCUUUUGAGAGCAAGCAAUUAUAAAAUUAAUUUCUGUGGCAUAUUAAGAUAUGUACUGAGCAUGGAGUCUGUGACUUAAAAGAAUCUUCAAAGCACAGGCCAUUAAUUUUU